GCGAGACUGCCGGUAAUAAACCGGAGGAAGGUGGGGAUGACGUCAAAUCAUCAUGCCCCUUAUGACCUGGGCUACACACGUGCUACAAUGGGCGGUACAAAGGGCUGCGAACCCGCGAGGGGGAGCGAAUCCCAAAAAAGCCCGACUCUCAGUUCGGAUUGCAGGGCUGCAACUCGCCUGCAUGAAGCCGGAAUCGCUAGUAAUCGCGGAUCAGCAUGCCGCGGUGAAUACGUUCCCGGGCCUU
rnacentral:rRNA from 1 species